rnacentral:lncRNA from 1 species
UUGGGACCUUGCCCUGCCCCGCGGCCCGCGUCACCAUGGCAACUGCAGGCAGCCAGCACCGACGGCGGGAAAACGAGGACCGGAGCCGCGUUACAGCCUUGGCCUUCGAGCAGCCCAGGGAGAGUCUCUGCGUCCUCCAGCCCCCGCUUCCCUUCAUGUCGGAGGUCCUAAGCCCGCAGCGAAGUCCGCAAAGAGCUUUCCCCGACGCCUACGAGACCGGAAGUGCCUGGGCCCAGGUGGAGGAAGGACCCGCGUGGCCGCCUCCGCGCUCUCCCUGGGGUCCGUGCCCCUUCCGGCGUUUCUCCCGCGUCCUUCACCAUGGCAACUCGGGCGUCGGGAGCGUGGGCUGCGAGCCGAGUGGGUGGGGGAGCCGCCGGGCUCUAUCCGCCAGCCCACGAGAAGUGACGCAGGAGCACCAUUGAAGGAGAAUUAGACAAACUGGAGUCUACUGAGAUGAGGCUGUUGGGAAUGGCCCUGGUACCACAUCCUGAGCAGGGAUGGCCGAUGGAAUGGGGAGAAGACUCAGGUGGGGCUUGAGUGUGUCCUCUGAUGACUGAAGAGCCUUGGGAGCAAGCAUCCUUCCUGCUACUGUGUGUUUGCUGGUUCCAAUGAUACAUAAUUUGUGCUUUUCGUAAUUAAAGUAUUAUCCUGU